rnacentral:rRNA from 1 species
GAUGAACGCUGGCGGCGUGCCUAAUACAUGCAAGUCGAGCGAACGGACGAGAAGCUUGCUUCUCUGAUGUUAGCGGCGGACGGGUGAGUAACACGUGGAUAACCUACCUAUAAGACUGGGAUAACUUCGGGAAACCGGAGCUAAUACCGGAUAAUAUUUUGAACCGCAUGGUUCAAAAGUGAAAGACGGUCUUGCUGUCACUUAUAGAUGGAUCCGCGCUGCAUUAGCUAGUUGGUAAGGUAACGGCUUACCAAGGCAACGAUGCAUAGCCGACCCGAGAGGGUGAUCGGCCACACUGGAACUGAGACACGGUCCAGACUCCUACGGGAGGCAGCAGUAGGGAAUCUUCCGCAAUGGGCGAAAGCCUGACGGAGCAACGCCGCGUGAGUGAUGAAGGUCUUCGGAUCGUAAAACUCUGUUAUUAGGGAAGAACAUAUGUGUAAGUAACUGUGCACAUCUUGACGGUACCUAAUCAGAAAGCCAUGGCUAACUACGUG